AACGAACGUUGGCGGCGUGGAUUAGGCAUGCAAGUCGAACGCGAAUCCCUGGGCAACUGGGGAGGAGAGUGGCGAAAGGGGCAGUAAGGCGUGGGUAACCUACCCUCCGGGCCGGGAUAGCUUCGGGAAACUGAAGGUAAUACCAGGCGACGCAGCGAGAUCGCAUGGUCUUGCUGCCAAAGGUCCGCCGCCGGGGGAGGGGCUCACGUGGUAUUAGCUAGACGGCGGGGUAACGGCCCACCGUGGCAAAGAUGCCUAGCAGGUGUGAGAGCACGACCUGGGCCACGGGCACUGGGACACUGGCCAGACACCUACGGGUGGCUGCAGUAGAGGAUCUUCGGCAAUGGGCGCAAGCCUGACCGAGCGACGCCGCGUGUGCGAUGAAGGCCUUCGGGUUGUAAAGAACUGUCGAGGGGGAGGAAGCCGCAAGGUUGACCUAUCCCUGGAGGAAGCACGGGCUAAGUUCGAG
rnacentral:rRNA from 1 species